AACGAACGCUGGCGGCAUGCCUAACACAUGCAAGUCGAACGAGAUCUUCGGGUCUAGUGGCGCACGGGUGCGUAACGCGUGGGCAUCUGCCCUUUGGUUCGGAAUAACAGUUGGAAACGACUGCUAAUACCGGAUGAUGACGAAAGUCCAAAGAUUUAUCGCCAGAGGAUGAGCCCGCGUAGGAUUAGAUAGUUGGUGUGGUAAAGGCGCACCAAGGCGACGAUCCUUAGUUGGGCUGAGAGGAUGAUCAGCCACACUGGGCCGGAGACACGGCCAAGAGUCUUACGGGGGGCAGCAGGGGGGAAUAUUGGACAAUGGGCGAAGACCUGAUCCAGCAAUGCCGCGUGAGGGAGGAAAGCCUUAGGAUUAGAGAACUCUGUAACCCGGUAUGGUAAUGACAGUAGCAGGAGAAUAGGCCCCGGCUAACUCCGUGCCAGCCGCCGCUGUAA
rnacentral:rRNA from 1 species